rnacentral:rRNA from 1 species
AGAGUUUGAUCCUGGCUCAGAACGAACGCUGGCGGCGUGCCUAACACAUGCAAGUCCAACGUGAAAGGGGAGCAAUCCCCCGGUAGGGUGGCAAACGGGUGAGUAAUACAUGGGUGAUCUACCUUAGGGAUGGGGAUAUCCUUCCGAAAGGAGGGGCAAUACCGAAUAUUGUCCGGGACCAUGAAGGGUUCCGGGGAAAGGGAGGCCUCUGAUACAAGCUUUCGCCUUAAGAUGAGCCCAUGGCCCAUCAGCUAGUUGGUAGGGUAAAAGCCUACCAAGGCUACGACGGGUCGCUGGUCUGAGAGGACGACCAGCCACACUGGCACUGAGAUACGGGCCAGACUCCUACGGGAGGCAGCAGUGAGGAAUAUUGCGCAAUGGGGGAAACCCUGACGCAGCAACGCCGCGUGUGGGAAGAAGGCCUUCGGGUCGUAAACCACUUUUACUCGGGACGAAAAAGGGAUAUCAAACAAAUAUCCCCGAUGACGGUACCGUGAGAAUAAGCCACGGCUAACUCUGUGCCAGCAGCCGCGGUAAGACAGAGGUGGCAAGCGUUGUUCGGAAUUACUGGGCGUAAAGAGUCUGUAGGUGGUUUGUCAAGUCUUUGGUGAAAGGCCGUAGCUUAACUAUGGGAAUGCCAAAGAGACUGGCAGGCUGGAGGCUGGGAGAGGGAAGCGGAAUUUCUGGUGUAGCGGUGAAAUGCGUAGAUAUCAGAAGGAAGGCCGGUGGCGAAGGCGGCUUCCUGGAACAGUCCUGACACUGAGAGACGAAAGCGUGGGGAGCAAACAGGAUUAGAUACCCUGGUAGUCCACGCCCUAAACGAUGGGUACUAAGUGUGGAGGGGUUAAACCCUCCGUGCCGCAGCAAACGCAGUAAGUACCCCGCCUGGGGAGUACGGCCGCAAGGUUGAACUCAAGGAAUUGACGGGGGCCCGCACAAGCGGUGGUGCAUGUGGUUUAAUUCGACGCAACGCGAGGAACCUUACCUAGGC